CUUCAAAAAUUUCUCCUUAUGCGUUCCUUCUCCUUUGUGAUUUGUUGUUGUAACUCGUUAUCAAUUGUUUCAUGCUUGCUCAGUCUAACUCUUAGUUCAUUCUAAGAGUUCAUCUUGGUAAUAUGGUCGACAUUAGCUUCGUGCUCUUUCAGUCUCUCAUUAAUAUGCCUCCAAUCACAAAACCCAUCAUUCCUCAUUGCAUUCGUGCAUUUAUCAGAAUUGAAAAGAUUACAGGAAAAGAAACACUCUUUUUGCGUGUUUUGA
rnacentral:rRNA from 1 species